UACGUAGGGGGCAAGCGUUGUCCGGAUUUAUUGGGCGUAAAGCGCGCGCAGGUGGUGGAUUAAGUUGUGGGUAAAAGGCAUUGGCUCAACCAAUGUAAGCCUGCAAAACUGGUUCACUUGAGUGCAGGAGAGGGGAGUGGAAUUCCCGGUGUAGCGGUGAAAUGACGCAGAUAUCGGGAAGAACACCCGUGGCGAAGGCGGUUCUCUGGGACGGUACUGACGCUGAGACGCGAAAGCGUGGGGAGCGAACAGG
rnacentral:rRNA from 1 species